UGGACUUGAGAAAAAUGAGUGUCUAGGAAAG
rnacentral:piRNA from 1 species